UACAGAGGUCCCAAGCGUUGUUCGGAUUCACUGGGCGUAAAGGGUGCGCAGGUGGUCGGGUAAGUCUGAUGUGAAAUCCCGCAGCUUAACUGCGGAAUGGCAUUGGAUACUAUUUGGCUAGAGGGUUGGAGGGGGGACUGGAAUUCUCGGUGUAGCAGUGAAAUGCGUAGAUAUCGAGAGGAACACCAGUGGCGAAGGCGAGUCCCUGGACAACUCCUGACGCUGAGGCACGAAAGCUAGGGGAGCAAACAGG
rnacentral:rRNA from 1 species